rnacentral:rRNA from 1 species
UACGUAGGUGGCAAGCGUUGUCCGGAUUUACUGGGUGUAAAGGGCGUGUAGCCGGGCUUACAAGUCAGAUGUGAAAUCCGGGGGCUCAACCCCCGAACUGCAUUUGAAACUGUAGGUCUUGAGUAUCGGAGAGGCAGGCGGAAUUCCUAGUGUAGCGGUGAAAUGCGUAGGUAUUAGGAGGAACACCAGUGGCGAAGGCGGCCUGCUGGACGACAACUGACGGUGAGGCGCGAAAGCGUGGGGAGCAAACAGG